rnacentral:rRNA from 1 species
CGUGAAGUUGGAAUUGCUAGUAAUCGCGGAUCAGCAUGCCGCGGUGAAUACGUUCCCGGGCCUUGUACACACCGCCCGUCACACCAUGGGAGCUUGUAACACCCGAAGUCAGUAUCCUAACCGCAAGGGGGGAGCUGCCGAAGGUGGGAUAAGCGACUGGGGUGAAGUCGUAACAAGGUAAC